AUGGGGCGCAGCAGGCGCGAAAACUUUACAAUGCGGGAAACCGUGAUAAGGGAAUCUCGAGUGCCAGCAUAUAAUGUUGGCUGUCCAGAUGCCUAAAAAGCAUCUGUUAGCAAGGGCCGGGCAAGACCGGUGCCAGCCGCCGCGGUAACACCGGCGGCCCGAGUGGUAACCGCUAUUAUUGGGUCUAAAGGGUCUGUAGCCGGCCAGGUAAGUCCCUUGGGAAAUCUGGCAGCUCAACUGUCAGGCUGCUAGGGGAUACUGUUUGGCUUGGGACCGGGAGAGGUGAGAGGUACCUUGGGGGUAGGGGUGAAAUCUUGUGAUCCUCGGGGGACCACCAGUGGCGAAGGCGUCUCACCAGAACGGGUCCGACGGUAAGGGACGAAAGCUAGGGGCACGAACCGGAUUAGAUACCCGGGUAGUCCUAGCCGUAAACGAUGCUCGCUAGGUGUCAGUCACGGUGCGACCGUGAUUGGUGCCGUAGGGAAGCCGUGAAGCGAGCCACCUGGGAAGUAUGGCCGCAAGGCUGAAACUUAAAGGAAUUGGCGGGGGAGCAC
rnacentral:rRNA from 1 species